rnacentral:misc_RNA from 1 species
CACCAUUGAGAAAAAAAAAAAAUUUGAUAGUUACGAUAAUCGCUUAUAUCUAGCUUCAACCUUUUAAGAAAUUUAAAUUAAAUGUUUUCGGAAGCCAGUGAACACAAAAUGAACGAUAACACCGCAGAGCAGAAAAUUGAACAUGAUAAAAUAUUUGCUAAUAAAGCUAAUGAACGAAUUAGCAAAGGAAGUACUAGUAGUAAUGGAUCAGUAUCAUCAUUUGCAAGUUCAAGCUUAGAAAACCAAGCCAAAGAAAAAUUAGCACUCUAUGUCUAUGAGUAUUUGUUACAUCAAGGCGCAACACGUGCAGCACAAACAUUUCUUAGUGAGAUACAAUGGGAAAAGAACAUAUCUUUAGGUGAACCCCCUGGUUUUCUUCAUUCAUGGUGGUGUGUUUUUUGGGAUCUUUACUGUGCAGCACCAGAGAGACAAGAUCCACACAAUCACAGUCCUGAAGCAAAAGCCUUUCAUGACCUCAACUCUGGUAAUCUACCAUCACCAAGCUAUAUUCCACAACCCAAUAAUGACAUGUCAUCAAUAAGUGGAAUGCAAGCUAAUUAUUUUCAAUUUAUGAAUAAUCGCUAUUCACAAGCACGAACUCCUUCCAUGAGAAUGCCUAAUCAGGGAAUGGGACCAGGUGUUAAUCAAUCACCGUACACUUCAUUAGAUCCAACUUGUCAGCAGCAAGCAUCUGGAACUUACCAAAAUGCAGCUACAAUGAUGAAUGCUAUGCGCGGUUUUAACAAUGGAAUGCCAUCAGUUCCUCAUACUUAUGGACACAUGGCACAAAUGAAUAAUACUUCAUUGAUGGGAGUCGGUCCAAUUGGACCUUCUUCUAUGCAAAUGGGACCUCGACCUGCAUGGAAUACCUCUUCAUCGUCUACAUCACAAAAGACAUUAAGUCAGGUUUGGCAUUGAUAAUCCGGAUCCUAUAAAAAUAGAACCCCACGAAGGAUUAGACGAUAUUCCUGUUGAAUGCAACGAGUCUGCUGAAAUACAACGAAUAAAAGAAUCAAUGAAAGAAGAAGUCAAGAAAUUCGAGUCCGAGAAUAAUCAAUACUACAAGAUGCACUGAUUAUAACAUUUAUUUCUCCCAUUGUUAAGGACUUAAAAAGUUCUUUGAAGAAAA